rnacentral:rRNA from 1 species
AUUGAACGCUGGCGGCAUGCCUUACACAUGCAAGUCGAACGGCAGCGGACCUUCGGGUGCCGGCGAGUGGCGAACGGGUGAGUAAUAUAUCGGAACGUACCUUUCAGUGGGGGAUAACGUAGCGAAAGUUACGCUAAUACCGCAUAUUCUGUGAGCAGGAAAGCAGGGGAUCGCAAGACCUUGCGCUGAUUGAGCGGCCGAUAUCAGAUUAGCUAGUUGGUGAGGUAAAGGACUCACCAAGGCGACGAUCUGUAGCGGGUCUGAGAGGAUGAUCCGCCACACUGGAACUGAGACACGGUCCAGACUCCUACGGGAGGCAGCAGUGGGGAAUUUUGGACAAUGGGCGCAAGCCUGAUCCAGCCAUGCCGCGUGAGUGAAGAAGGCCU